rnacentral:tRNA from 1 species
AAGAGGGUUGGAUAUAGGAAUAGCUGCUAACUAAUUUCUAAAGCGGUUUAACUCCGUUUUCCUCUUA